rnacentral:lncRNA from 1 species
UAACAUCAAGUCGGAGAUGAAUUCCGCACCAGCCGAGCACGAAGUUCGCAUCCCGGAAGGAACUACGAAAGACCUGAUUCUCCCCAUCCCCCGAAGAGUUCUUGGAGAUACGUAGGCAGCCGCAAAGGCACGGUCACAAACAUAAGUUUGCAUCAUAAAAAGCAUUUUCUCUUUGCCAACAUAAUAAAAUAAAAAAUAAAAAAGAGAAGAAAAGAAAAAUAAAAGCCGGAGUUGAAAACCCGAACGGACGGCUUCUGGUAAGAAUUGAGCCCGCUAGGCUGAAAACCCGAAAGGGCGGUCUAGGCAAAAGUUAGGGCAAAGAGCCUGCUAGAGUCGAAAACCCGAAAGGGCGGCUACUAGGAAAAAGAUAAUGCCAACAAAAAGUGCUUUCAUGAAUUCUUUUAGAGAGUCCAUUUUUGUAGGAUAAACAGCAAAGUAUGUCCUUAAAAAAAAAAAUCCCUUUCAAAGGUCUCCUUGGGAGUAUAUAAAUCAUUUUUUCCAGGAAUCACUGAGUUCCUUCGAGUCAAAAUUCACUACAAGAAAAAUUUGAGUCUCUAAAUCGAGUGUCCAAUGAGUCUCUAAAAUCAAGUCUCC